UGAUGUAUCCUCAAAUUUUCAA
rnacentral:piRNA from 1 species